CGUAGUGGGACCGUCAGCCGUUGGAUCGGAUACCCGGCGCUCCCGCGGCCUCCCGAUCCUUCUCCCCGAGGAAGGCAAGGGUAAUAUGGACAUUGGGCCCAAGGGGGGAGGUAGCCGUUGGGAGAUGGUACACACCUGCCAGCUGGAUCUCGGAAGUGGGGCCCGCCCCUGCCAGGCUGACAGGCAAAAGACGAUUAGCGCUGGAAAGAAGGCGUUGCGCUGUACUGGGGCCCACGGUACGCUGUGGACGCUAGCUCCGUCCGCUGUCUUCUUUCUUGGGUUAAUUAUUCCGGUGCAAUUAUUUAUUCACCGGGGUCGGGGAAAGAGGAGGACCUUCGUGCCCGUCAGGCCUAUCCAUAUAUCCCCACCCCUUCUGCCUCUCUCUAAUCUCCGCAUCCGUAGAGCGAGGAAGAGUAGCUGAGAGAGAGGCAGGGAGGAGAGGGAGAGAGUGAGGGGCAGAGAGAGAGAGAGAGAGAGAGAGAGAGAGAAUGUCGAAGGAGGUGACAGUGGACGCGGAGCAGCAUGUGGCCAANNNNNNNN
rnacentral:lncRNA from 1 species